rnacentral:rRNA from 1 species
GAUGAACGCUGGCGGUAUGCUUAACACAUGCAAGUCGAACGGUACCUUCGGGUAUAGUGGCGGACGGGUGAGCAACGCGUGAGAAUCUAUCUUCAGGUCGGGGACAACAGUUAGAAAUGACUGCUAAUACCGGAUGUGCCGAAAGGUAAAAGAUUUAUUGCCUGAAAAAGAGCUCGCGUCAGAUUAGCUAGUAGGUGGUGUAAGAGACUACCUAGGCUUCGAUCUGUAGCUGGUCUGAGAGGACGAUCAGCCACACUGGAACUGAGACACGGUCCAGACUCCUACGGGAGGCAGCAGUGGGGAAUUUUCCGCAAUGGGCGAAAGCCUGACGGAGCAAUACCGCGUGAGGGACGAAGGCUCUUGGGUCGUAAACCUCUUUUCUCAAGGAAGAUUCAGACGGUACUUGAGGAAUAAGCAUCGGCUAACUCUGUG